rnacentral:lncRNA from 1 species
ACGUCUGACACCUGCAUCAAUUCGGGCUUACCUCCCACAUUUAAGCUGACACGCUCUGAUAAAACUGGAAUACUGUUAAAACCGGCGUUAAACCUAACUCACUCACUCACUCAUAUGCAGUUUCUCUUGGUGCCUCUGGAAUUUUCGGGGUAUGUAACUUACUCAUAGAUAAUCAUAGUUGGCCAAGAUCGAUAAACAUGAUAAACAUGAGGCUGGGAAAUAUGUACAUUAAGAAACUUUCUUUUAAAUCUCAGCAAAUCUUUGCAUGAAAAGGCAUAAUCCAUGUUUGAGAAAUGAAUAUGUAAAUAUUUGUACAGAGAGUUGUGAUACUGAGAAUUUCUGUAAAUAUCAAACAAAUAUAAAUGGAAAAGUGUUGCCAUGACAACCGAGUUCUGUGUGCCCUGUUAGAUAUUUAGAGACUUAGUUGGCUCCUGAUCCAUGAAAUCCUGAGUGGUGUCCGACAUGCUUCACAGGUGCCCGACAUGCCGCACAGGUGUCUGACAUGCUGCACAGGUGUGUCCGACAUGCCGCACAGGUGUCUGACAUGCUGCACAGGUGUCCGACAUGCCGCACAGGUGUCUGACAUGCUGCACAGGUGUCCGACAUGCCGCACAGGUGACCGACAUGCCGCAGAGGUGACCGACAUGCCGCACAGUUGUCCGACAUGCCGCACAGGUGACCGACAUGCAGCACAGAUGUCCGACAUACCGCACAGGUGUCUGACAUGCUGCACAGGUGUGUCCGACAUGCCGCACAGGUGUCUGACAUGCUGCACAGGUGUCCGACAUGCCGCACAGGUGACCGACAUGCCGCACAGGUGUCUGACAUGCUGCACAGGUGUCUGACAUGCCGCACAGGUGUCUGACAUGCCGCACAGGUGUCUGACAUGCUGCACAGGUGUGUCCGACAUGCCGCACAGGUGUCUGACAUGCUGCACAGGUGUCCGACAUGCCGCACAGGUGUCUGACAUGCUGCACAGGUGUCCGACAUGCCGCAGAGGUGACCGACAUGCCGCAGAGGUGACCGACAUGCCGCACAGUUGUCCGACAUGCCGCACAGGUGACCGACAUGCAGCACAGAUGUCCGACAUACCGCACAGGUGUCUGACAUGCUGCACAGGUGUGUCCGACAUGCCGCACAGGUGUCUGACAUGCUGCACAGGUGUCUGACAUGCCGCACAGGUGACCGACAUGCCGCACAGGUGUCUGACAUGCUGCACAGGUGUCCGACAUGCCGCACAGGUGACCGACAUGCCGCACAGGUGACCGACAUGCCGCACAGUUGUCCGACAUGCCGCACAGGUGACCGACAUGCUGCACAGAUGUCCGACAUGCCGCACAGGUGUCUGACAUGCCGCACAGGUGUCCGACAUGCCACAGAGGUGUCCGACAUGCCGCACAGGUGUCUGACAUGCUGCACAGGUGUCCGACAUGCCGCACAGGUGAACGAUAUGCCGCACAGGUGAACGAUAAGCCGCACAGGUGUCCGACAUGCCGCACAGGUGUCCGACAUGCCACAGAGGUGUCCGACAUGCAACACAGGUGUCCGACAUGCCGCACAGGUGUCCACAGGUCAUUGAGGUGCUUAUACUCUUCGGUUAAUCUUAGAACCCUGUUAAUCUGUCAUAUUUAACAUGAACAUUAUAAGACUCACACUCGCCAGCUUCAGACACUGGUCCUUAUUGUGAUGUAUUGGUUAUAUUUUUUAUUAGACAGAGAAUUGUUUUCAUGUGAUGACAAUUACUAUACUGCUGAAUAUGAAUUAAUACAUGAAAAAUAUAAUAGAUAUGUUUCAGCUUAGUGAACUGCCUAAAAUUGUUUGUUCUUGUGAAAGAAUUGGACAAAAUAUCUUCAAUAUUAUCCCCAAAUGAAGGUCAAACUUUGGCCGUACUGAAGCAUAGAACUAGAUCGUAGGGAUGAAGUAUUCACAGUGUUUUAGUAGGCCCAGGAAAUAUGUGAACAUUCAUGUUUCUUGUGAUUGUAAGUCUGAAGGGCUUGCUGUUUUCAACUUUCCCUAGUCAGUAACCUUCAAGGUAUGGAUGUGUAGUGUGUUGAAUGAAGUACAGCUGCAUGGACUUUAAAAUUUAUAUUUUUGUUACAUAAUGUAUAUUUUGUUAAUACUACUGUGAGAUUUUCUUUAUUUUGGAUUAACAGAUUGUUUGUGAAUCAAAAACUGCAAGUUGUGAAUUUCAUAGUCCUUCAUGUUAGGGGUCGUCCUGUUCACAGUUCACUGCUAGACAUACAUGUAGUUCAAUAAAUAACGUGAAUGGGUGGUUGAGAGCCCCAUUCAUCUAGAACCUUUUGUGAAUUAUAGUUUGUCCUGCAUUUAAAUAUUACCUUUUAGUGUUCUCUUGGCUUCCCCGAAUGCACUCCGUUUGAUCCAUGAUGUUGUCAUGAGCUCUAAUGUCCUUCAACAUAUGCUGCUCAACUUUAGACAGGGACAACCAGACAUUAGGAGAAUCAGUUUUGUGUAGCAAUGAAAGAUAAAAAAAAUGUCCUUAUCAAAAGUUGAGCAGUAUAUAUUAACUAUUUUGCUCAGCUGACAAAUAGGUUAUUGUUACUUUCAAUUCGGAAAGGAGAAUAUAUUGUCUUUAAACAGCAACUCUCACUGUUUUAGUGCUCACAGUGCCUGACUGGUAAACUCUAGAUUUUAUUUUUUUCAAUCUAGUAGUGUGAACUGAGACAGACCUUUAUGUGACCUGUAUGUUAAUACUGUAUGAGAUCAUGCUCCAUACAUUGGCGGUCCAGGGCAUUGUGACGAGCAGAGUUGCCUCCCUUGGUAUUGCCAGGAUCCGUUGAUCACAGGUUUGAAUCCUGGGUUCAUCAUGACAGUGAUCCUUGGUCUGUCGGCAACAUACUCAACAUGUGUGACAUCCAGGACCUACAUUAUUUAGAGCUUUCCACAUUGUGAUGCUGUGAGAAAUUACUCACAUAUUGUUCAAAGAGGAAUUAAACCAACUCAACUCCCUCCCUGGUGUGUGCAACUCCAGCUUAUGUUCGUAAGUCACUGUCACAUACUGCCACAAACAUGUUACCUACUUUUGAAGACUUUUUAAUUUUCCAGCAUUUGUGUGGUUUGUUUUCUUAUCAAAUUGGUCAUUGGGUAAAAAAAAGAUGUCAUGUGCACCCUCGUGGCACACUGUAUAGUUUACUUGAGAAUUGAUUUGGAUGUGUUUCAACUUGAUCAUGGGUACAGUGUGUGAGGCCCAUUUCUGGUGUCCCCCCGCCGUGAUAUUGCUGGAAUAUUGCUAAAAGCGGCGUAAAACCAUACUCACUCACUCAACUUGAUCACUACUUCUAGAUCAGUGGGCACAUCUCUAUGAAAGUGGCUGUGCAGUCCAUUUUCAGGUAUUCCUAUAUAUGUUUUGGAAAAAGUGACUCGUAUUUAACAAUGAAUUGAUCUUGCCUGAGGUAGUGGAAAUAUAUAUAUUACAUGGUCAAAGUACAGAAUGCAGGUUUGUGGCAGUGAUGUGUGUUACAGUUUAACAUGGCUAUUUGGAGGUAUUGGAGAUUUAAUUGUCUCCUGUGUUCUGUUCAAAGUUCUGAUCUCAGGACAAUACAGUCACUACUUACUAUGGGCACCCUGAGAAUACUUCGAUCUGACGUUAUUUGUUUUACAAUAUGAAGAAUUUUGCUUUCUGAGAGCAGCAUUAGGCAUUAGGGAAAGACAACUCCUCCUUUUGUGAUUUUUACAACGAGUUUGUACGAUGAAAUAAUCAUCAUGGAUGUACUUAAAGUGUGGAUUGUGUUGCGUCGACAGUAUUAAUAUGAUGGGAUGGAAUAUAUAUCAGAAUUAUUUCAGGGCGUAUAUACGUAUGUCCUUUUGAACUAUAAUUUCAUAAAAAUUGGAUAACCUCCCUGGUAAUUUCAUUUAAAUUCGAAACAACAUGAUUGACACAAGUGAUGAUAGUAUUUUCUUUUGGCCAUACAUACAUUUUGGUAGAGUGGGUAAAAAUUAGGUUUUGAAUCAGAUUGCCAGCCAAUAUACAGGCAAAUAUAGGCAAAGCUACCACUUCACUCUAAUGUUUAGUGCAGGGAUUUGAGCUGGGAGUACCAGACAGACAGAUUUUGAACUAUUCCUUGACCAGCUAGGAUUGGGCAGGCAGCUAUUUUGAAAUGCUGAGUACAUAGAUUAGAAUAGAACAUGCCUUGGAGAUGUGAUUCAAGUUGCUGCACUGCACAAAAUAUGAAUGCACAUAAGAGUCAACACAUUGGUUAAAAUGGUGCUCGCAGGAACGGGCACCACACUAUUUUCGUCUUUGUUUGUCAUACUUUUGAAUGGAUUUGAUAUAUUACCUUUGACCUGAGAAGUGUUUUAUUACCAUAUAUUAACCAAGAAACCUGUUCAGUCUGGAUAUUGAGGAGGAUGUAUCUAGUUAUGACCAUACGUAACUAGUUAUGAUAACAAUGGUAUCCACAUGGUGAGGAGAUUGUUCUGGGCUCCAUUCCACAAGGUGAGCUUUGCGCUAAGGUGAUUAUGACUCCUAUACUUUAACAUAGACUAAUAACAGUCGUAGCUCUAACAUCACUUUGUGGAAUAGGGCCCUGGUUCAAUAAUAGUCGGGAUGAAAUGCACUGGGCCUCGUUCCACAAAACAAUCUUAGCGCUGCCACUGUUGUAAGUCUUAGCACUAAGGUCACUUUGUGGAAUGGUGCCCUGGGCCCUGUUCCACAAAGCGAUCUUAGCCCUAAGUCUUUCGUAAGGCUAUGUUAAAGUAUGGGAGUUACGAUCAUCUUAGCUCUAAGAUCGCUUUGUGGAAUGGUGCCCUGGUCCCUUGUAUCCAGAGCAGACUUUAGCUCUGUAACUACGUUAAUAGUAUCAAAUUAUAUGUGCCAUUAUCAUCAUUGUAUCUGAAAAUUAACAAUACCUCAAUUAACCAUGUAUCUGACUGUGCACUUUUAUUUUUUCAUCUCUGAAUUUGAAAGAUGAGCAAUUUAUUGAUUUUAUUUUUUACCUGUCUGAUAUUUCCUACAUUAGAUUUAUCUGUAGAUGGAAUGUGCUACCUAUGACAGUCAGUGUUAGGUUUAAAAAGACAAUUAAACAGUUUCUGCUGACUCUGGUAAAGACAGUGGAAGAUGUUGCAUGAGCCAUGCUUAAGUUAUUUAAACUUUGUAUAGCUGUAUGAUAUGUUACUGUUGUAUGAUAAUGUACAGUCAUGUAUAAUAAAGCUGCCGUUUUUACAGAAUA